UACAGAGGGGGGCAAGCGUUGUUCGGAAUUACUGGGCGUAAAGGGCGCGUAGGCGGCCUGCUAAGUCGAACGUGAAAUCCCUGGGCUCAACCCAGGAACUGCGUCCGAUACUGGUUGGCUUGAAUCCGGGAGAGGAAUGCGGAAUUCCAGGUGUAGCGGUGAAAUGCGUAGAUAUCUGGAGGAACACCGGUGGCGAAGGCGGCAUUCUGGACCGACAUUGACGCUGAGGAGCGAAAAGCCAGGGGGAGCAAACGGG
rnacentral:rRNA from 1 species